rnacentral:lncRNA from 1 species
AUGGAUGGGAACUGGGAAACCUGCAUUUCGCUUUCUAAUGAGGCAUUGGGCUAUAAACUGCUAUUGCCCCUCAGAGGUGCCGCAGUGGAGCCUCCCCAUUCCCUGCCCUUCUGUCGGGACGGGGCUAACUUCACCCCAGCCUCUUUCCCAUCGCUGCUCGGAGGAGCUUCUCCAUUGCCGCUCGGGCUGCGAGCACAGACCGGGCACCGAGCAGGAGACCAGGGCUGCGCUCCGGCCCUGCAGAGCCGAGCAGCGGCCCGGCUCCCUCACACCGCCACCGCCCGGCCUCACCCGCGGAGGAGGCCUCACCGCAGGCCGCACCCCCACUCCCGCCGGGGCCGCGGGGGAGGCCGGGACUCUCCGCUGCGCUCCUCCCGAGCCCGGCCCCGCUCCGGCGGAAGGGGCAGGGCGGAGAGCGACGGGGCCGGGCAGAGGGCGACGGGGCCGCGGUGCCGCCACCGCCGGGCCGCGCUGAGGGGACCCCCUCACGCUCCAGGCAGCGGAGGGGACUACAGCUCCCAGCAGCCCCCGCGGCCGGGCGCUGGCGCGGGGCACUGUGGGAUUUGUAGUCCUCAGCGGGGCUCGCCCCCCGCCCUCCGGGUGGUUCCUGUGCGCCCCGCGCACUACAUUUCCCGUCGGGCCUUGCGGCAGGCCCGGGGUCUGUUGGCGGCGACAUUUGCGAGCCGAGUGUCUCCAAGAUGGCGGCGUGGGGAAGGAGGCGCGCUGGCCCCGGCAGCACCAACAGCGGUGGCGGCCGGGAGAGGGCUGACUGAUGUAACAAGCGGCUGCCGGUUUUAGUGGUCACCUUGUCCUCCACGGACUGUUACAUCGUGCAUGAGAUCUACAACGGAGAGAACGCUCAGGACCAGUUUGAGUACGAGCUGGAGCAGGCCCUGGAAGCACAGUACAAAUACAUAGUGAUAGAGCCCACCCGCAUCGGGGACGAGACCGCGCGCUGGAUCACGGUGGGGAACUGCCUGCACAAGACGGCCGUGCUGGCGGGUACCACUUGCCUCUUCACCCCUCUGGCCCUUCCAGUAGAUUAUUCUCACUACAUCUCCCUGCCUGCUGGUGUGCUGAGCGUGGCUUGCUGCACCCUUUAUGGCAUCUCUUGGCAAUUUGAUCCCUGUUGCAAGUACCAAGUAGAGUACGAUGCCUAUAAACUUUCCCGCUUGCCCCUGCAUACGCUCACCUCCUCCACCCCGGUGGUGCUGGUGAGGAAGGACGACCUGCACAGAAAGAGACUGCACAACACGAUAGCACUCGCUGCCCUGGUGUACUGUGUAAAGAAGAUCUACGAACUCUAUGCUGUAUGACUCCAGCAGGGAAGAGAGAAACCCACAAAGACAAAGUGUAUUAAGACUCCCGCAGUAACAUUUUGUUUUUCCUCUUUUUGAGAAGCAGUUGGAGACUGGGAAAGGAUUUGGUUUAAUAAGAGAUGUUAUUUUUCAAAUAACACAUCACUGGUGCACCGAGGUUUUUCAGUUCUUCGUUACACUUAAG